UAAGGGUUGAGUUUGAUGAUGGCUCUGAAUGAACGCUGUCCAAAUGCUUGACACAUGCUAAUCGUACGUCUAAUAAUUUUUAAAACAUUAUUAUUAUUUGUUUUAGCAAAUAAUAAUCUUAUAAAAAAAAUAUUUAGAAGUGGUGUACAGGUGAGUAUAUAGUAUUUUAGCCAACCCUAAAGAAAGGUAAAAAAAUGCCUUAUAAUAAUAAAAGGAAGAAUUAUUCCGCUUUAGGAGGACUAUAAAUUACUUCGGAUAGGUAGUUGUUAAGGUAAUGACUUAACUAGCUUAAAAUUUCCGUAGUUGAGACAGAGAGGUCGAUCAACCACAUUGGGUCUGAAAAAACCCCAAUGCGUAUUGUACAGCAGUGAGGAAUAUUGGUCAAUGGCCUAACGGCUGAACCAGCAACUUGGGAGAAUGUAUAGUCCUCUUAUGAGGCUAGUUAUGUUUUUGAGUAGUAAUGCACCUGGAUGGGGUUACACAAUAAAACAUAAUACCAACUACGUUGGAUAAAGUUCUAGAUAGAAUACUGAUUAUGACUAUUUUCUAUCUACAUGUCUUGACCAAAUUACGUGCCAGCCGUCGCGGUAAUACGUAGAAGACUAGUGUUAUUCAUCUUUAAUAGGUUUAAAGGGUACCUAGACGGUAUUACUAACCCAAACAGGGAAAUAGUUUUGCUAGAGUUUAAUAUGAGAAGGCGAGUAUUUACGGAGUAGAGAUAAAAUUCUUUGAUACUUUAAGGACUGGUAAAGGCGAAAGCAACCUUCUAUGUAAUAACUGACGUUGAGGGACGAAGGCUUGGAUAGCGAACAGGAUUAGAUACCCUAGUAGUCUUUGCAGAAAAUGAUGAAUGCCAUAGACUAGAUUUGUUUUGGUCUAUAAAUGAAAGUGUAAGCAUUCCACCUCAAGAGUAAUGUGGCAACGCAGGAACUGAAAUCAUUAGACCGUUUCUGAGAACAGUAGUGAAGUAUGUUGCUUAAUUCGAUGACCCUCGAAAAACCUUACCACAACUUGAAUGAUAUCAUCUGUAUAUUAAGGUAAUAUAGAUACCUUAAUUAAGGUGAUGUUACAAGUGUUGCACGGUUGUCUUCAGCUAAUGUCGUGAGAUUUUGGUUAGUUCCAUAAAAUUAGCGUAAACCCUGGCUUUAUUUUUAAAUUCUUAUCAUAAAGCAGUUCAUCACUAUAUUGAAUAUAUGAUAACUGGGAUCAAGACAAAUCAUCAUGGCCUAAAUGUUGUGGGCUGUCAGACGUGCCACGUAUCCCUAGACAAAGAGCUGCGAAAAUGUGAAUUUAAGCGAACCUCAAAAAAUAGGGCAUAAUAAGGAUUGUAGUCUGAAACUCGACUACAUGAAUAAGGAAUUACUAGUAAUCGUGUAUCACCAGGGCACGGUGAACAUCAAUCUUCAGAUAGGUACUAACCACUCGUCAGACGCCGAAAGGAGUGUGUGCAAUAAGUUUGGCUACUUAUUAUUUUUAUUGUAGGAAAAAAAUACAGUUCUGCAAAAUUAAAGUAGGGUGUCUUCGUAUGCGUGACUUUGAUUGGUGUUAAGUCGAAAUACGGUUCGUGUAGUGGAAGUUGCACGGGAUUAAUUUAAAAU
rnacentral:rRNA from 1 species